CGCCCCCACCUCGGCCACGCCAUGCCCGGCCGCGGGCUGCCCGUGCGCCGGCGCGGCGGGGCGGAGCGGAGCGGAGCCGGGGCCGGUUGGAAGGGACCGGUCCCGCGGGGCGGGGCCGUCGCUGCCGCCGGGGCUUCCGGGAGUGCCGCGGCAUGGAGCCGUCGCCGGCGGGCGAGGAAGAAGAGGAGAGCGGCAGCUUCCGCGCCAGCGAGCACCAGCACACUCGGUACAACCCGCUGCGGGAUGACUGGGUGCUGGUAUCGGCCCACCGCAUGAAGCGCCCCUGGCAAGGGCAGCUGGAGAAGCCGCCACCCGAGGAUGUGCCCCGCUGGGACCCCAACAACCCCCUCUGCCCCGGGGCCACCCGGGCCAACGGCGAGGUGAACCCCAAAUAUGAGGGCACCUUUGUCUUCCCGAAUGACUUCCCUGCGCUGCAGCCUGAUGCUCCCGAGCCUGGUGAUAGUGAUCAUCCCUUGUUUCGAGUGGCAGCAGCGCGGGGUGUGUGUAAGGUGAUGUGCUUCCACCCCUGGUCAGACUUGACACUGCCCCUCAUGUCCCUGCCAGAGAUCCGGGCUGUCAUCGAUGCAUGGGCAGAGCUGAUGGCUGAGCUGGGUGCUUCCUACCCCUGGGUGCAGAUCUUCGAGAACAAGGGGGCGAUGAUGGGCUGCUCCAACCCGCACCCACACUGCCAGGUGUGGGCCAGCAGUUUCCUCCCGAAUGAAGCAUGCCUGGAGGACCGGACGCAGCGGCAGCACCUGAGCCAGCAUGGUGUGCCCAUGCUACUGGAGUAUGCCGAGCAGGAGGCUCACCGGAAGGAGCGGCUGGUGGUGGAGAACGCGGACUGGCUGGUCGUGGUGCCGUACUGGGCCACCUGGCCCUACCAGACCCUGCUGCUGCCCCGCCGCCACGUGUGCCGCCUCCAAGACCUCCGUGAUGGCGAGAGGGACAGCCUGGCCUCCAUCAUGCAGAGACUGCUCAUCAAGUAUGACAACCUCUUUGAAGUCUCCUUCCCCUACUCCAUGGGCUGGCACGGAGCCCCCACGGGCCCCUACCUGGAGGAGGACUGUGGGCACUGGCAGCUUCAUGCUCACUACUACCCACCACUGCUCCGCUCCGCCACCAUCCGCAAGUUCAUGGUGGGCUAUGAGAUGUUGGCCCAGGCACAGCGGGACCUCACCCCGGAGCAGGCAGCUGAGCGCCUGAGGAACCUCCCUGAUGUGCACUACAAGCAGAGGGCCAAGGAGAUGUCAUGAUGGGGAGCAGUGGAGCCAGCCCUUGGCUCUGCCUGGUGAGGCCAGAGAGAGAUGUCAGGUGGUGCUGUUGCUUCCGUCUCCUCCCCCACUGCAGUUUGUGUCUUCCGCCUCCAUAGUGUUCUCCACUAAAGGGCUUGUCUUCAUUACCAGUCCAGUCUUACCGGUGGGAAUGGGAGUGGCACAGCCUCCGUGGCCAAUAAAACCUGGAAUCGAA